CCUACGGGUGACAGCAGUCGAGAAUCAUUCACAAUGGGGGAAACCCUGAUGGUGCGACGCCGCGUGGGGGAAUGAAGGUCUUCGGAUUGUAAACCCCUGUCAUGUGGGAGCAAAUUAAAAAGAUAGUACCACAAGAGGAAGAGACGGCUAACUCUGUGCCAGCAGCCGCGGUAAUACAGAGGUCUCAAGCGUUGUUCGGAAUCACUGGGCGUAAGGCGUGCGUAGGCUGUUUCGUAAGUCGUGUGUGAAAUGCGCGGGCUCAAGCCGCGGACGGCACAUGAUACUGCGAGACUAGAGUAAUGGAGGGGGAACCGGAAUUCUCGGUGUAGCAGUGAAAUGCGUAGAUAUCGAGAGGAACACUCGUGGCGAAGGCGGGUUCCUGGACAUUAACUGACGCUGAGGCACGAAGGCCAGGGGAGCGAAAGGGAUUAGAUACCCUUGUAGUC
rnacentral:rRNA from 1 species